ACGAACGCUGGCGGCGUGCCUAAUACAUGCAAGUAGAACGCUGAAGAGAGGAGCUUGCUCUUCUUGGAUGAGUUGAGAACGGGUGAGUAACGCGUAGGUAACCUGCCUUGUAGCGGGGGAUAACUAUUGGAAACGAUAGCUAAUACCGCAUAACAAUGGAUGACACAUGUCAUUUAUUUGAAAGGGGCAAUUGCUCCACUACAAGAUGGACCUGCGUUGUAUUAGCUAGUAGGUGAGGUAAUGGUUCACCUAGGCGACGAUACAUAGCCGACCUGAGAGGGUGAUCGGCCACACUGGGACUGAGACACGGCCCAGACUCCUACGGGAGGCAGCAGUAGGGAAUCUUCGGCAAUGGGGGCAACCCUGACCGAGCAACGCCGCGUGAGUGAAGAAGGUUUUCGGAUCGUAACGCUCUGUUGUAAGUCAAGAACGGGUGUGAGAGUGGAAAGUUCACACUGUGACGGUAGCUUACCAGAAAGGGACGGCUAACUACGUG
rnacentral:rRNA from 1 species